GAUGAACGCUGGCGGCGUGCCUAACACAUGCAAGUCGAGCGGUAAGGCCCUUCGGGGUACACGAGCGGCGAACGGCUGAGUAACGCGUGGGAAUCCACCCCAAAGUGAGGGAUAAGCAUCGGAAACGGUGUCUAAUACCGCAUAUGGUCCUCGGAUUAAAGGAUUUAUCCGCUUUGGGAGGAGCCCGCGUCCGAUUAGGUAGUUGGUGAGGUAAUGGCUCACCAAGCCUACGAUCGGUAGCUGGUCUGAGAGGAUGAUCAGCCAGACUGGAACUGAGACACGGUCCAGACUCCUACGGGAGGCUG
rnacentral:rRNA from 1 species